rnacentral:rRNA from 1 species
UACGAAGGGGGCUAGCGUUGCUCGGAAUCACUGGGCGUAAAGCGCACGUAGGCGGCUUUCUAAGUCAGGGGUGAAAUCCUGGAGCUCAACUCCAGAACUGCCUUUGAUACUGGAGAGCUUGAGUCCGGAAGAGGUGAGUGGAACUCCGAGUGUAGAGGUGAAAUUCGUAGAUAUUCGGAAGAACACCAGUGGCGAAGGCGGCUCACUGGUCCGGUACUGACGCUGAGACGCGAAAGCGUGGGGAGCGAACAGG